CGAACCUGAUAUUCUGUCCACGUCCACUGCACGGAUGAAAUUCCAACUCCAAGAGACCUCGGUCGGGACUUAUUUAUCCAGCGUUGUGACUUGCAAAACUAAUCACGGCUGAUACCGCUUACCCUGUUAUCAACGUGAUACACCUCGAUAACACCUCACCAAGUACGGGCAAAACUCUCCCCUUCUCUCGGCGGACUGGCGAGUCGCUUGUGCUAACACGAGUCAACGUACUUUGUCAAGAGACGGCUAACAGCCCGCCAAGAGCGAAAACCACUGGUGGAAGAGGUGACUGCGAUCACGAGCUGGGUGCAUGAAAAGACCAACAACUCACUCUGAUUCAAAACUGGAACCCGACUUCGUUUGGAAUAAUACAAACGAUUCAAGAAUUACUUACGCCUAAUGGUAUCCUGACCCGGGGAGGUCCAGAAACAAUGGUUCGGACUUGCUGCAACUUAUAACCUGCUGAAAACGUGGAUCGGGCAACGAUCGAUGAAAUCAUUUUGAAAAUUGAAGAAUUCUCGAAAGCCGAAGCGAAGAACGUGGGACAAGUGAUCAAAUUAGACCUAACACGCAGAACCAGUUACGCAGCUUCAACAGACACCACUAGAGGAAUAAAAACGAUUGGAUGCUUCGCCACUUGCAGAGCAAGUCAAAUUAGUAACAAAUUACAAUAAAUUGGAUACUUGAUAUUUUUUAAACAACUACAGUGAAUGUCAAGAUAACAACGUUAAUUCACAAGAAGAUUUCUACAUAACUACUGAGAGUUGUAGGACGGUGAAUGGUUUUUAAGUAAUUUGCAACUAAUCGAUAUUAAACGUUCUUAUGAAUUUGACUCACAGCUGGUCAAAAAUUGGCGCCAAGUGGAAAAAUGAGAUCAUUUGUGUUCAAACCGAACUUUCAAUAAAUGAACAAAUUAUCUAGUA